rnacentral:rRNA from 1 species
AUGAGGGUCCUCGCGCUCCUCCUCCUACUAUGGAUCUCUGCCGCCGCCACUGCAUCCCGUCCGCCGCUCGAGACCCUCGGCAUCCCUCCGCAAGAUGAGGCGUACUACAGGGGCGGCGUGAUCAAGUGCAGGGACGGAUCGGGCAAGUUCACCAGGGAUCAGCUCAACGACGACUUCUGCGACUGUCCCGACGGCACCGACGAGCCAGGGACAUCCGCGUGCCCGGAGGCGAAAUUCUACUGCAAGAAUACCGGACAUUCUCCAAUCACCAUCUUCUCGUCGCGAGUGAAUGAUGGUAUAUGCGAUUGCUGUGACGGGAGUGACGAAUACGGUAGCAAUGGCACUUGCAAGAAUACAUGCUGGGAAGCUGGCAAGGCGGCGAGGGAGAAGUUAAAGAAGAAAGUAGCUACAUAUAAAAGUGGUGUCGUUAUUCGGAAUCAGGAAGUUGAAAAGGCCGAAUUGGCAAUUGCGAAAGAUGAAGCAGAGUUAACAAAACUGAAGGGUGAAGAGAAGAUACUCCAGGGGCUUGUCGACAAGCUCAAAGAGCAAAAGAGAUUAAUAGAAAAGGCAGAGGAAGAGGAGCGCCUAAUAAAAGAGAAGGAAGAAAAGAGAAUUAAAGAAGAAGCUGAAAAACAAGCAGCUGAGGAAAACAAAGCACCUGAUGCCUCUCAGGAAGCAGAUUCUCAGGACACUAAUGAGAAGGCACAAGAAGAUGAAAGCAAGGUAGUUGAACAUCAUGAUGGAGAUAUCACGGACCAUGACAAUCACUCACCAGAAGGCGAGACAUCUGUUGAAGUGCCUGACAUUAAAGCUGGGACUGGAGAUGAUGAACCACCGGUGGAGACAUCUGCAGUACCUACCGAGGAGCAGGACCCUACUUCUGUCAACUCUGAAGGUUUGUCAAAGGCGGAAUUGGGUCGUCUGGUAGCUUCUCGCUGGACUGGAGAAAAUGUAGAUGAUGUUGGUAAAAGCGAUAAAAAGGGCCAUGAGGAUGAGCUGGAUAUUCCAGAACCUGCAGAAGAAGCAUUUGAAGAUGAGCAUGAUAUACCAGAACCCGUAGAAGAAAAUUAUGCUGGCUAUCAUUCAGAAGUUGAGGAUGAUAGGCACAAAUUUGAAGACGAAGAGUUGUCUAAUGUAUCAGAUGAUGAAUAUGUUGAUGAUCAUGAAGAACCGGAUGUGUCCUAUAAAUCUGAUGACGACCGGAAAGGUGAUGACCAUUCAGAUUUAACUGCCUCAGGACAAGCAUCAUGGCUGGACAAGAUUCAGCAAACUGUACAGAAUGUUUUACAGAAAUUCAACUUUUUCAAGACCCCUGUUGAUUUAUCAGAGGCUGCUCAUGUUCGGAAGGAGUACGAUGAUGCUAGCUCAAAGCUGUCCAAAAUUCAAUCUAGGAUAACCUCUCUGACAGAUAAGCUAAAGCAAGACUUUGGUAAGGAGAAGGAGUUCUAUUACUUUUAUGACCAGUGCUUUGAGGGCAAGGAGGGCAAGUAUGUUUACAAGGUCUGUCCAUACAAGAAAGCUUCACAGGUUGAAGGACACAGUUCCACUAACCUGGGGCGCUGGGACAAAUUUGAAGAAUCCUACAGGAUGAUGCACUUUUCAAGUGGAGACAAAUGCUGGAAUGGCCCUGACCGAAGCCUAAAGGUCAGGCUUAGAUGUGGGCUGAGCAACGAACUUAACGGUGUCGAUGAGCCCAGCAGAUGCGAGUACGUCGCUGUACUGUCAACUCCUGCAAUGUGUGUUGAAGAGAAGCUGAAGGAGCUGCAACAGAAACUCGAUGCUGUGGCUUCAGACCUGUCCGGCCACGACGAGCUCUAA